UAGAGCCUGUACACUCUGAGAAGUGCACAGCGGACUCCAGCUGCUUGUUAGAGUAAUGACACCUUUGUUUUGUGGCUCAGAAAAAUGGAAAGGUGGGGGGAAAAGACAACAUUCACUUUCUCCUGAAUAAAGAACUGAGUUGCAGGAACUGCUAUUAAGCUAUGAGUGCAUCUGCAGUCCUGUACAUGCAGAGUUGUCGGGAUGAGGAAGAAAACCAAGAGGAUGUCUACAAAGCAGCACUGACUGAAAACUGGAUUUUUAUACUACUGAUGGGCACAUGGAAGAUCCUCAGAAAUAAACCAGGCUAAAAAUCCACGCCACCAGCAAUGCACAAGGUACAGUUAUUUACAGAGCAAGUAAAGCCACAAGUGACCAAAAAUAAUCAGAAUUAAUACUUACGUUUCGGUGGCUGGAUCAUAGACUUCACAGGAAUUUAGGACUCUUCCAGAAACAUUGUUUCCCAAGCUUCCUCCGCACACGUAAAUGAGACCAUUCGCCUCCACCAUCCCAUGGCUGCAUCGCUGAGUCAGCAUGCUGGGCUUUGUGUGCCAGCUUUCUGUUCUUGUGUCAUAGCAUUCAAAUAAAUACAGUGCAGAAUUUCCUUAAAAAAACA